rnacentral:rRNA from 1 species
GACGAACGCUGGCGGCGUGCUUAACACAUGCAAGUCGAACGGAAAGGCCCUGCUUUUGUGGGGUGCUCGAGUGGCGAACGGGUGAGUAACACGUGAGUAACCUGCCCUUGACUUUGGGAUAACUUCAGGAAACUGGGGCUAAUACCGGAUAGGAGCUCCUGCUGCAUGGUGGGGGUUGGAAAGUUUCGGCGGUUGGGGAUGGACUCGCGGCUUAUCAGCUUGUUGGUGGGGGAGUGGCUUACCAAGGCUUUGACGGGUAGCCGGCCUGAGAGGGUGACCGGGCACAUUGGGACUGCGAUACGGCCCAGACUCCUACGGGAGGCAGAAGUGGGGAAUAUGGCACAAUGGGCGGAAGCCUGAUGCAGCAGCGCCGCGUGCGGGAUGACGGCCUUCGGGUUGUAAACCGCUUUCGCCUGUGACGAAGCGUGAGUGACGGUAAUGGGUGAAGAAGCACCGGCUAACUACGUG